rfam:Homo sapiens chromosome 12, GRCh38 reference primary assembly.
GCCAGGCAUGGUGGCUCACGCCUGUAAUCCAAGCAUUUUGGGAGGCUGAGGCAGGAGGAUCACUUGAGCCCAGGAGUUCAAAAUAAGCCUGGGCAAUACAGUGAGAUCCUGACUCUG